rnacentral:rRNA from 1 species
AAGGUUUCCGUAGGUGAACCUGCGGAAGGAUCAUUGUCGAAACCUGCAAAGCAGACCCGCGAACGUGUGUUUCUUCCUCGGGGUGUCGAGGCAUGGGCGGACGAAAGUCCCCCCGAGUCGAGGCACCCUCGCCCGUGCGACGCGUGCGUCGUUCGAGCUAACGAACCCCGGCGCGGCAUGCGCCAAGGAAAACAACAAAGAAGCGUCGACCCUCGUUGCCCCGUCAGCGGGUGCCGCGGUGGGAAACACGACCUCUCUUGAAUGUCAAAACGACUCUCGGCAACGGAUAUCUCGGCUCUCGCAUCGAUGAAGAACGUAGCGAAAUGCGAUACUUGGUGUGAAUUGCAGAAUCCCGUGAACCAUCGAGUCUUUGAACGCAAGUUGCGCCCGAAGCCACUAGGCCGAGGGCACGUCUGCCUGGGCGUCACGCAUCGCGUCGCCCCCUCCCAAUCCAUCCUUAGGGUGCUGGGAUGGGGGGCGGACACUGGCCUCCCGUGCGCGCUUGUGUGCGGCCGGCCCAAAUGCGAUCCUGCGUCGACGGAUGUCACGACAAGUGGUGGUUGGACCUUCAACUCGCGUGCUGUCGUGCCUGGCUCCGUCGCUCGCUCGUGCAUCGUUUCGACCCUAAGGCGCCUACACGCGCUUCCGACCGCGACCCCAGGUCAGGCGGGACUA